rnacentral:rRNA from 1 species
UAUGGAGGGUCCAAGCGUUAUCCGGAAUCAUUGGGUUUAAAGGGUCCGUAGGCGGUUUUGUAAGUCAGUGGUGAAAGCCCAUCGCUCAACGGUGGAACGGCCAUUGAUACUGCAAGACUUGAAUUAUUGGGAAGUAACUAGAAUAUGUAGUGUAGCGGUGAAAUGCUUAGAGAUUACAUGGAAUACCAAUUGCGAAGGCAGGUUACUACUAAUGGAUUGACGCUGAUGGACGAAAGCGUGGGUAGCGAACAGG